UACGGAGGGGGCGAGCGUUAUUCGGAAUUAUUGGGCGUAAAGGGCGCGUAGGCGGCUGUACAAGUCAAAGGUGAAAUCCCUCGGCUCAACUGAGGAACUGCCUUUGAAACUGUACGGCUUGAGGCCGGGAGGGGGUAGCGGAAUUCCCAGUGUAGCGGUGAAAUGCGUAGAUAUUGGGAGGAACACCAGUGGCGAAGGCGGCUACCUGGACCGGUUCUGACGCUGAUGCGCGAAAGCGUGGGUAGCAAACAGG
rnacentral:rRNA from 1 species